GGGGGAUAACGUAGCGAAAGUUACGCUAAUACCGCAUACGAUCUAAGGAUGAAAGUGGGGGAUCGCAAGACCUCAUGCUCCUGGAGCGGCCGAUAUCUGAUUAGCUAGUUGGUGGGGUAAAGGCCUACCAAGGCAUCGAUCAGUAGCUGGUCUGAGAGGACGACCAGCCACACUGGAACUGAGACACGGUCCAGACUCCUACGGGAGGCAGCAGUGGGGAAUUUUGGACAAUGGGCGAAAGCCUGAUCCAGCAAUGCCGCGUGAGUGAAGAAGGCCUUCGGGUUGUAAAGCUCUUUUGUCAGGGAAGAAACGGUGAGGGCUAAUAUCUCUUGCUAAUGACGGUACCUGAAGAAUAAGCACCGGCUAACUACGUGCCAGCAGCCGCGGUAAUACGUAGGGUGCAAGCGUUAAUCGGAAUUACUGGGCGUAAAGCGUGCGCAGGCGGUUUUGUAAGUCUGUCGUGAAAUCCCCGGGCUCAACCUGGGAAUUGCGAUGGAGACUGCAAGGCUAGAAUCUGGCAGAGGGGGGUAGAAUUCCACGUGUAGCAGUGAAAUGCGUAGAGAUGUGGAGGAACACCGAUGGCGAAGGCAGCCCCCUGGGUCAAGAUUGACGCUCAUGCACGAAAGCGUGGGGAGCAAACAGGAUUAGAUACCCUGGUAGUCCACGCCCUAAACGAUGUCUACUAGUUGUCGGGUUUUAAUUAACUUGGUAACGCAGCUAACGCGUGAAGUAGACCGCCUGGGGGA
rnacentral:rRNA from 1 species